GUCUACGGCCAUGCCACCCUGAACAACCUAGAAACCGACUGAUCUCGAAAGCUAAGCAGGGUCGGGCCUGGUUAGUACUUGGAUGGGAGACCACCUAGGAAGACCAGGUGCUGUAGGUG
rnacentral:rRNA from 1 species